rnacentral:rRNA from 1 species
UACGUAGGGUGCGAGCGUUGUCCGGAAUUAUUGGGCGUAAAGAGCUCGUAGGCGGUUUGUCGCGUCGGCCGUGAAAUCUCCACGCUUAACGUGGAGCGUGCGGUCGAUACGGGCAGACUUGAGUUCGGUAGGGGAGACUGGAAUUCCUGGUGUAGCGGUGAAAUGCGCAGAUAUCAGGAGGAACACCGGUGGCGAAGGCGGAUCUCUGGGCCAUUACUGACGCUGAGGAGCGAAAGCGUGGGGAGCGAACAGG